UACGUAGGCAGCGAGCGUUGUUCGGAGUUACUGGGCGUAAAGGGUGUGUAGGCGGUUGUUUAAGUUUGGUGUGAAAUCUCCCCGGCUCAACUGGGAGGGUGCGCCGAAUACUGAAUGACUUGGAGUGCGGGAGAGGUGAGUGGAAUUCCUGGUGUAGCGGUGAAAUGCGUAGAUAUCAGGAGGAACACCGGUGGUGUAGACGGCUCACUGGACCGUAACUGACGCUGAGACACGAAAGCGUGGGUAGCAAACAGG
rnacentral:rRNA from 1 species